CCCUUGCUAAGAGGUGGGAGUGCCCGAAAGGGAGCCAUAACACAGGUGCUGCAUGGCUGUCGUAGAGCGAGACGUGAGAUGUUGGGUUAAGUCCCGCAACGAGCGCAACCCUUGUCCCUAGUUGCUACGCAAGAGCACUCUAGGGAGACUGCCGGUGACAAACCGGAGGAAGGUGGGGAUGACGUCAAGUCCUCAUGGCCCUUAUGGGUAGGGCUUCACACGUCAUACAAUGGUCGGAACAGAGGGUCGCCAACCCGCGAGGGGGAGCCAAUCCCAGAAAACCGAUCGUAGUCCGGAUCGCACUCUGCAACUCGAGUGCGUGAAGCUGGAAUCGCUAGUAAUCGCGGAUCAGCAUGCCGCGGUGAAUACGUUCCCGGGUCUUGUACACACCG
rnacentral:rRNA from 1 species